AACAAUUUUUAUAUAAACAUACACUCACAAAUGUUUAUAUAAACAUAAGCUCAUAAGUGCUUGAUUAAAAGUUAUUGAAAAAAAUGGCGGUCACCAGUUAAUCUUUUGAUGAAACAUUUAACAGCCCAUGUUUACCUAACAUUUUUAUUUACACAUGCUAGUUUUUCCUACAAAGCGAGAACGUAUCGAAAAGCAAUCCAAAGUCAUUUAAUAAGUCUUUAACCCCUUAACCUACAAUUUUCUAGGCAGCUGCGUCAUGCAUAGCUAAUUACCACAAUAUGAAGUAAGGUUAAAAAGUUAGGUUUAGUAUUCAAAGAUUAGAAGGGAACCCAAAGUUCAAUUGCGAUGAAAAUACGAGUGUGGCUCAUCACGAAUGCGUCACGAGUGAUAUAAAGGCAAAGGGUUAUCUUAAGCUUUCUUCUUACAAAAUAAUCAUAUUUCUUCUGAAGUAUGUUCUCGACGAAGUAUGUUCUGUAAAAAGGGAGACGUAUUCCAUACAACGUUUGGUAUAUCAUGGACUUAUAGUUUAUGCUGUUUAUCCUGCAAGGAUUUGGUUAUAUAAUACCUAUUUCGAUGCAAAUAGUCGCAAAAUGGCGGAAAUAUCCGCUUAGUGCGUAAGCUGAUAUUCGAUAAAAAAUUGUUCGCACAGAACGAAAGUAUGACGUGAUACGACAGUGAAUGUAUUGAAAUACUGUGUCAAAAAGAAAUUAUAUGCAAUAAAAUUGAAAUUAUAUGUUACUGUAGUGAUAAGUUUAAGUAAGUUCUACCGUAAAUGUCAUUAAAAUAUCAUCAAACUAAAUUAGUUCAUGGGAAAGUAGUUCAUUGUGUCAAUAGGUUUUAAGACCAAAUUAUGUACUUUAUUGUAUUUAAAAAAUUUAGAAUA